UUUAAUUAAGAUCAGAAGAGUUACUAGUACAAUGUGUUAAAGGAACAGUUGCAGGAGUAGAUUGACACUAUAAGAAGCACUAGAAUUAUUACAUUAAACAGAAUUAGCAACAUUGAUAGGAAAAGAAACAGACGUAGAAGAUGAAGUCAUAGUAGGAUGUAAGAAAUACAACCCAUUUGCAGCUUUACCAAUUUUCAGUAGCCUCCUCAGAGAAGUUCCCUGUAAAAUACAGGCAGAAAUGGUAAGAGUUGCAAUGCAUCUGAAUUGAACAAGAAGUUUAUGAAUAAAUAUGAGAUUGAAGUGAAAAUAAGGAACUAACAUAACAUUAUGUAAGAUCAUGCCUGGCCUGAGUUGCGUAGGCCCAGUAGAUAUGAACUUUACUUUAUAUCCAUUAGGCAAAGUUAUUAAGAAAAGAGUAGUGAGUGGUGUCAAAUUGAUUAAAAGGUGUUUGCAUGGUGUCACGUGGUUAGUGGCACGUGAAUCUAGAAUUCAAGGAUUUGAACCUAAGUUUGAAACUAUACAUGAAUGGAAAGCAGCAGAAUUCACUUCAGGAUGAUUAAACACCUGCAAAGUGAGCAAAACCAAUAUUUUCUGAGGCAGAAGUAUCAGAAUGUAUAACAGGAGGAUUAUUCAACUGUUGGAACAGAGUCAUGAGAUGGUCAUAUUUUUCCUUGCUGAAGCCAUGACCAGUGAUUUCAGAAGAAUGACCAUUAAUGUGAGUAUGGUUAGGAAAAGGACCUUCAGAUUGCACACAAGCACCAGUCCUUUUGCUUUUGGUAAACUUGAAGUCAGGAGGAAAUCCAUGUAGUUUGUAACAAUUCUCAAUAGUAUGACCAGUAUUUUUGCAGUAUUUGCAAGACAACUGAGAGGAAGAGCAUGAACCUCUCUUUUGAUCAAACUGGAAUCUUUGAGUAUAAGGCCUAGCAGAUGUCUGGACAGGACUGCUAUAAGCAUUGAAAGAGGCUGACUCAUUUGAAAAGCUGGAUAUAGGAGCUGAAGUCUCUUUUUGCUUUUCAUCAUGUUGAAGCAUAGAAUAGACUUUGCUUAAGGAUGUAAGAGGUGGAAUCAUCAAAAUAUUGCUAUUGCAAGUAGAGUAGGACUCAUUUAAACCACUAAGGAAUUGGUAUAUUUUCUGUUGUUCAAUGAAUUUUGACAAGGCUCCACAUAUGCAUACUGGUCCUACAUAGGCAGUACUAAGUUCAUCCGAAAGACCCCUCAAUUUUGUAAAAUAAGUAGCAAUGCCUAAUGGUCCUUGAGAAGCAACACUGAUUUCCCUUUGUAUUUGAAUAUAUUUUGAACCAUAUGAUGUGCCAGAUCUUUCAUUUAUAUCAUCCCAAAUGUCUUUAACAGAGUCAAACCCCAUAACACUAUUUGCUAUAUCUUUAGACAAUAAAUAUUUUAACCAUGCAAUUACCAUGUCGUUGCAUCUUUCCCAAAAAGGGUAAUAGGGAGAAUUAGUUAGAGGCUUAGUGACUUUUCCUGUUAUGAGCCCUAGUUUGUUAUUAGCGUAGAGGGCAGUAAACAUAUUCUUACGUCAAAUAAAAAAACCAUUUCCAUCAAAAGGUGAAGACACUAAGCAUGUUCCAAGACUAUCAGAUGGAUGAAUAUAGAAUAGAUGAGAUGGAUUUACAGUGAACUCAUCAAAUCCAGCUGUCACAGAGGAAGGACUAACAUCUGGACUUCCCAUGAUUUAACCCUAGAUUUUCAAAAUUUCCAAAUUGAUACGAGGAUCACUCAAUUUUCACCAAAAUGUAGCAGAAAAUAAGGAGAAUGUUAUCGUCCUUCUUUGCAGCCUAAAGAAGGUGAGGCCUUGAGGUCAAUAAUGCUGCUGAAUUGGCGAGGAUGAAGAAGAUAC
rnacentral:lncRNA from 1 species